rnacentral:piRNA from 1 species
UGGGAAUGGAAUUGUUUUUUCAGGAACGCC